AUACGGAGGGUGCGAGCGUUAAUCGGAAUUACUGGGCGUAAAGCGUGCGUAGGCGGUUUGUUAAGUCAGAAGUGAAAGCCCUGGGCUCAACCUGGGAACGGCUUUUGAGACUGGCAGACUCGAGUUGAGUAGAGGGGAGUGGAAUUUCCGGUGUAGCGGUGAAAUGCGUAGAGAUCGGAAGGAACACCAGUGGCGAAGGCGACUCCCUGGACUCAAACUGACGCUGAGGUACGAAAGCGUGGGUAGCAAACAGAAUUAGAAACCCUAGUAGUCC
rnacentral:rRNA from 1 species